GUGGUUUUAGACGCUUUGUGAUGCAUGAAAAAGCUUGAAAUUGAUUAAAAACACUGAUCACCAAAAGCGCAUUGUGCUGCAAAGAUAGUUCUUACUCUGUAGACAUCUGUAUCUAAUAGUUAUGAAAAACAAAUUGGAAUGUCAACCAAAAGUGCAUUCAUUAAUUUAAUCUUUAUUAAGAACACACAUGAGCAUAAAUAGGCCAAGGCUUAAAAAAAACAAAAAAAGAUUUUGUCCUGCACUUUCUUCCAGUCUUUUUUUCCACUUUUCGGCACUUUCUGCGUGCUUAAAAAUUAUGACAUAACCAUUGUAUAGUUUGACAGUUUAUUUUUUACUUUAGAUUACAUUUGAAGACUGCUCGCCGGUAGAGAUCAGAGAAGUUGAGUGUUCCUGUGUGGCUGGUACAGUGUUGUGCAAUCACAGCGUUGCAUUACUUUACCAGACUGCACACUACUCUGCUCUGAAUUUGACUGCUGUGCCACCAGUACUAAGCUGUACUGAGACGGAACAGAGCUGGCACAAACCAAGGACCAUGGCCGUGUGCGUGACAUGGUUUUUACGUCUGCAAGACCAAAACAGCAGCGCACAGUCGGAAACGGUGUAAGGAGCAAACGUUACAAGGCAGUGCGAGGAGACACACCAGACCCUGAUGUCCUCAGAGUAGCAGAGGUGUAUCAGGACUUUCCAGCAGACCUUGCACCUCUCAUUACUACGAUGGCAAUCAGUGCUGAUGUGCCUUUAGUUGAUUCAGCCUUUGGUAAGGUCCAGGAAGGCAGUCCGUUUGCUUUUCAGCAUCCACUACCAGUCAGCCGGAUAAUAACUCGCCAUGUGGAUGCCCCUCCACCGCCGUCACUGCCUCUUGAUCACUACCAUCUUGAGCCCACCUGUGUCCAGUUUGUCUGCAGCCAACAGCAACAGCUUGAACUGGAGUGUCUUGCGACAACGCUGGAACAGUCCCGCCAAAUUGAGGUUGCCACCAGGGACCAGAGCGCAACAGUUGAAUGGCAUUAUGUCAGGAGGCCCCGUAUUACUUCUUCUCGUUUCCGGGAAGUCUGUCAUGUGAGAGGAGCCACUUCUGCUUUGAGCUUAGCGCAGCGCAUCAAGAAGGGAACAGCAGCCACAGGCGCCAUGAAAAGGGGGCUAGCACUUGAACCAUCGGCUAUCCAGGAAUACUGCAGGAUCAAAAACACCAACUUUUGGCCCUGUGGGUUCGUCAUUCACCCUGAUGCUCCAUGGUUGGGCUCUUUUUCAGAUGGUGUUGUUUUUGACCUGACAGAGAGGCCAACAUUUGGUUUGUUGGAGAUAAAAUGUCCCAAUACAAAGAGCUAUGUGGAUUGUCGCUAUUUAAAAAAGUGUAAUGACACAAUGAGGCUUGCGUCAAGUCACAGCUACUAGUGGCAGGUGCAAGGGCAGCUUUUAAUCACAGGCAUAGAGUGGUGUGAUUUUGUCGUCUAUGCUGAGGAUGACAUUCUUGUCCAACGCAUUUAUCGAGAUCCCAGUGUGUUUGAAACAAUUAGGGCAAAGGUUGACCAUUUUUACCAGUUUCUAAAAUGCCAGGCUUCAGGUCAAACCAAUGUAGGUUUGUUUGGUUGUCUGAGCACGUUAACAUGUAUUUUGUUAUUUUGUGUAUAGCUUAGUAUUUAGUUCAACAAUGUCAUGUUGUCCUAUUUACUUCUGUUCUGAAAGUUUUUCACCAUAUGCCAUGUUGUGGAUUAAGUAGCUUUAAUAGCACAAUAAAAGUUAGUUAUUUGAGUAUUCCAGUUUGUUUAUUGAUCUAAAUUUCCCCAAAAAUGUUUUUUAAUGGAAUCAGUAAUUAAGAAGUAUUGGUUUUAUAAAGUCUUUUAUUUGU